rnacentral:lncRNA from 1 species
CUCUAUGACUUUGGAAUCUUCUAGUUUGCUGCCGCUCGCCUGGCAAAGGGGAAGGGUGCCAUCCGCUAUUGCUUGCAAUGGCAAAUCUAGUUAUGGCACCCUCAACGGAGUUGGGGUGACGUAUUGUUAUUCUACGUUUCUUUUUUUUAUGGCACCCUCAACGGAGUUGGGGUGACAUAUUGUUAUUGUUCGUUUCUUUUUUUCUUAUUAUGUCACCCGAUCGACAAUGUCGAGUGACAUAUUGCUUUUCCUCUGUUUCUUUUUCUGUAUUAUUAUGUCACCCGAUCGACAAAGUCGGGUGACAUAUUGCUUUUCCUCUGUUUCUUUUUCUGUAUUAUUAUUAUUAUUAUACUUCCACCUUUUUUGUCCGGCAUGUUUUUUGGAGUGAAAUGGAAUCAAUCUUAAUGAUAGUUCACUAUAAGGUGGAACAAAAAAUUUUGGGGUGCAGGUGGGUCUAAGACCAUAAAAAAUGGCUGCGGUUUCCAUGGAAACAGAAUAAUUGUGAAAAAUUCCAGUUUUUGGUUUUGGUGAAUAAUUUGGAGAUUCUUAAACUCAAAAUCAUCAUAUUUUGAUACAAUGUAGGUGCCAGCCAUAUACUGGUUUUGGAUGAUUUUGGCAAUCAUUGGAACUACUAUGUUGCCAUGGAAACUGCACCAAAAAUUUCCAAAAUAUCAAAAUGCUCCAAAUUUUUUGAAACUUCAUGGUAACGAUGAGCAACAUUGGUAGAUGUGGAAUUUGGCGUUGGAAUUUCAAAAAUGUCUGCCGUUACCAUGGAAACAGAGCAUAAGUGUCAAAAUGCUCUAAAAACUUCAGGGUUUGGUGAAUAAUUUUGAUAUGCUUGAACUUGAAAUCAACAAAUUUUUACACAAUAUAGUUAUCCACUAUAUACAGGUUUUGAUUGAUUUUGACAAUCAUUGGAACUACUCUGUUACCAUGGAUACAGGAUCAAAUAUCUCAAAAGUUUCAAAAUGCUCCAAAAUUGAUGAAACUUAAUAUGAUAGUUGACUGGCAAGUCUGGAUGAGACUUUUGACUUUGGAAUUUCCAAAAUGGCCACC